ACUCCGCACGCUGGACUUCGGAAUAAGCCUCGGAGGGCAAUUUAUAAAGCGUGUUAAAAAAUUAGAUACGUGAUCAAAAGCAUUCCUUAUACAGACUAAGCGAGGUAGAGCGCUGUUGAAAUAUCAAAAUUAUUAUUACUCUAAGGUGGCUGGGGUCCAGAGGAAGUGGAGAUGCAUUUCUACAAACAUAUGUUUCGCGCAUAUCCACGUCGAUAGAGACUUGCACGUUUUGAACAUGAGAGGGGAUCAUUGUCACUUUCCAGCGAUCUAUACGAGGUGCAGGGACGGAAAAUAUGUUUUGGUCAGACGUCGCAAGACUCGAAAGUAAUUUUUUAAAGGAAGGAAUUUACUUCAUGUAAAUUCCAGCAAAUAUUUACAGAUGAUGGAAGAAUGUUUCUUAAGUACAGAGGUUUCUAUUACUCCAAACUAGCCAAGAGUAGGAGCAGGUGGCGCUGUGUGUGCACGAAGACUUGCUACGUGGGUCUGAAUGUAUACCCGGACUUUACUCCCAUGAGAGAACCUGGCGUACAUCAUCACAACCCAACCAUCCUUCGCAGGUUGAACAACGGCAGGCACAUGUUCGUAUCAGAUAUAAAAAGCUGAAAUAAAAGCCAUCACAAUGGUAAAUGGUAGAAGCUAUUACCUCUACAAAGGCUAUACUUAUUGUUCAGGAUUCAAGACGAAGACGGGAAAACGUUGGAGGUGUACGAAUACUUCUGACUGUAAGGCUUUCAUCGUGAUAUCAGAUGAAGGCCUUUUUGUUAAGGCUUGCGGAGAACAUGGUCACAAGCGGCAGAAGUUCCAUGUAUUACCUGACGGUCGAUACAUCAAGAUUUAAAUCAAAUAAGAUAUAAGUGGCUUAGAUUUUAUUAUAAAAGACUAUCAUAAUUUCCUAUUUUUAUUGAAAGACAAAUGCAACAAUUGUAAGGAAGGUUGUUACGUGUGUAUGUUAAAUUAAAACUGACAUAAAAUAAAAUUUUUAUUUACUGAUAAUAUCAAAUAAUUUUCAUGUACUAUUUGACUUCAUUUAAAGGACAUCAGUUGUAGGUGAUUGUGAGGUACAUCUCUUAUUGUAUUACAGUUUCCUUUGCGAAAUCUCAAAGGGGGGACCGGUUACUGGUUUGCAAAGGUUUUUGCUACAGCCUCCAAAAAUUACGAAAGCGAGACUUUCAAUGGCGCUGCACUAUGACCCAGCCGGGAUCUGGCAAACCACCACUAACUAUAAAGUUAUGGAAUUUAUCAAACAACACAUACACUCGCGGCCAAAGUUUGCCAAAAAACGAAACGCGGUAUUAAGGAUUUAUUAAAACGAAACUCUUACUAUAAUAUUCUUUAGAAUUCUGGAGUACAAAUCGGUCUAUCUAUUUAUGUCAUAUUGAUGCCAAAUAUUAAUCAUACAUAGUUUUUAUUAUAUUCCUUAUAAUUAAUUCGUUAAAGUUAUUUAUAUUUAUUGUCACUCCUUAUUUUAUAACAAUUUUUGUAUAUGGUUGGACUAAUGGGUAGUUUUUGCAGGCACUUUUUUAUGGACGAACAGAGGAGGUAAACAUCCUCUACUUCUGCUCUGUGGGUUUACGUACAGCUUUCAAAAACGUAACGCCGAUGGUAGGGUGUCGUGGUACUGUUCCAGGAGGUUGAAGGGUUGUAAGGCCGCGGCCAUCAGUGUCGGCAGUCAAGCCUACUCAUACAAACACCACAACCACCCACCUCCCAGGAUACCGAAAUAUUUAAGCUGUCCAACGUGAACGAAUACAAUUUUUUUAAUUCAUAUAAGUUAAACGACGCUACGGUUGUGUCGUAAGUGGAAUUUCGUUUAGUAUAAACUAUGUACAUAUAUUGUAAUGUUUAAGUAGAUAAUAUCAAAUAUAUGAUUAUCGUUCUA